rnacentral:rRNA from 1 species
GACGAACGCUGGCGGCGUGCUUAACACAUGCAAGUCGAGCGGUAAGGCCCUUUCGGGGGUACACGAGCGGCGAACGGGUGAGUAACACGUGGGUGACCUGCCCUUAGCUCUGGGAUAAGCCUGGGAAACCGGGUCUAAUACUGGAUAUGACUCCAUGACGCAUGUUGUGGGGUGGAAAGCCUUGUGCGGCUGAGGAUGGGCCCGCGGCCUAUCAGCUUGUUGGUGGGGUGAUGGCCUACCAAGGCGACGACGGGUAGCCGGCCUGAGAGGGCGACCGGCCACACUGGGACUGAGACACGGCCCAGACUCCUACGGGAGGCAGCAGUGGGGAAUCUUGCGCAAUGGGGCAAAGCCUGACGCAGCGACGCCGCGUGAGGGAUGACGGCCUGG